AUUAUGAUUAAAGAUUUAUUGCUAAAAGAUGGCUAUGCGUUCUAUUAGUUAGUUGGUAAGGUAACGGCUUACCAAGACAUCGAUAGAUAGGGGCCCUGAGAGGGGGAUCCCCCACACUGGUACUGAGACACGGACCAGACUCCUACGGGAGGCAGCAGUGAGGAAUAUUGGACAAUGGAGGCAACUCUGAUCCAGCCAUGCCGCGUGUAGGAAGACUGCCCUAUGGGUUGUAAACUACUUUUAUAGAGGAAGAAACAGUUCCACGUGUGGAACUCUGACGGUACUCUACGAAUAAGGAUCGGCUAACUCCGUGCCAGCAGCCGCGGUAAUACGGAGGAUCCAAGCGUUAUCCGGAAUCAUUGGGUUUAAAGGGUCCGUAGGCGGGUCUGUAAGUCAGUGGUGAAAGUUUUCGGCUUAACCGGAAAAUUGCCAUUGAUACUGCAGGUCUUGAAUUAUUAUGAAGUGGUUAGAAUAAGUAGUGUAGCGGUGAAAUGCAUAGAUAUUACUUAGAAUACCGAUUGCGAAGGCAGAUCACUAAUAAUGUAUUGACGCUAAGGGACGAAAGCGUGGGUAGCGAACAGGAUUAGAUACCCUGGUAGUCCACGCCGUAAACGAUGGUUACUAGCUGUUCGGACUUCGGUCUGAGUGGCUAAGCGAAAGUGAUAAGUAACCCACCUGGGGAGUACGUUCGCAAGAAUGA
rnacentral:rRNA from 1 species